rnacentral:piRNA from 1 species
UGGGGAUACAGCUCUGUUGGAAU